rnacentral:rRNA from 1 species
AGGACGAACGCUGGCGGCGUGCUUAACACAUGCAAGUCGAGCGGAAAGGCCCUUCGGGGUACUCGAGCGGCGAACGGGUGAGUAACACGUGAGUAAUCUGCCCCUAGCUCUGGGAUAGCUCCGGGAAACCGGGAUUAAUACCAGAUACGACCACUUUAGACAUCUGUUGUGGUGGAAAGAAUUUUGGCUAGGGAUGAGCUCGCGGCCUAUCAGGCUUGUUGGUGAGGUAACGGCUCACCAAGGCGACGACGGGUA